rnacentral:rRNA from 1 species
AUACGUAGGGUGCAAGCGUUAAUCGGAAUUACUGGGCGUAAAGCGUGCGCAGGCGGUUUUGUAAGACAGGGGUGAAAUCCCCGGGCUCAACCUGGGAACUGCCAUUGUGACUGCAAGGCUGGAGUGCGGCAGAGGGGGAUGGAAUUCCGCGUGUAGCAGUGAAAUGCGUAGAUAUGCAGAGGAACACCGAUGGCGAAGGCAAUCCCCUGGGCCUGCACUGACGCUCAUGCACGAAAGCGUGGGGAGCAAACAGGAUUAGAUACCCUGGUAGUCCACGCCCUAAACGAUGUCAACUGGUUGUUGGGGAUUUAUUUUCUCAGUAACGAAGCUAACGCGUGAAGUUGACCGCCUGGGGAGUACGGCCGCAAGGUUAAAACUCAAAUGAAUUGACGGGG